UUAAGUUCAGCGGGUAUCCCUACCUGAUCCGAGGUCAACCUUUUCGUGAUUUAACGGCCGCCGACGCCCCGCCCUCGCCGCGAUGAUGAAAUUAACCACAACGCUUGGAGACGGGUCGCCCAGCCGGAAAAAAGAGAGACUUUAAGGCGCGCGGCGAGCCGCGACGCCCAACACCCAGCCAGGCUGGAGUGGUGAAAUGACGCUCGAACAGGCAUGCCCCGCGGGAUACCACGGGGCGCAAUGUGCGUUCAAAGAUUCGAUGAUUCACUGAAUUCUGCAAUUCACAUUACUUAUCGCAUUUCGCUGCGUUCUUCAUCGAUGCCAGAACCAAGAGAUCCGUUGUUGAAAGUUUUGUUUUGAUUUUUAAUCAAGACUCCGACGCAAAUUGACGCAGUGUUUAUUGGCCUCCGGGGGCGCCGUCCGCCGCCGAGACGGCGGGGUCGCCCCCGAAGCAACGAGGUUGGUUCACAAAGGGUUGGAGGUCGGGCCCCGGAGGACCCUCACUCGGUAAUGAUCCCU
rnacentral:misc_RNA from 1 species